rnacentral:rRNA from 1 species
UAUAAAGAAAAGACGAACAGCUCAGUAACUCUUAUUUUAUUUGAUGUAUUAGGAUUAUAACUAUGUUAAAUUAUAGAUAACAAUAAUACAAUAAGAAUAAGAUCUAUCAGUUAGUUGUUAAGGUAAUGGCUUAACAAGACUAUGACGGAUAACGGUAUUACUUUGUAAUAUUCCGGAGAAGGAGCCUGAGAGAUUGCUACUAAGUCUAAGGAUUGCAGCAGGGGCGAAACUUGACCUAUGAUAUGAUAUUGAGGCAGUUAUGAGUAGUAUUUUUAAUUAUUGUAGUAUUGUAAGUAUAUACUACAAGAUAAAUCGGAGGGCAAAUCGAGUGCCAGCAGCCGCGGUAAUACUUGUUCCGAUAGUGUGUAUGAUGAUUGAUGCAGUUAAAAAGUCUGUAGUUUAUGAUUAAUAAGCAUUGUGAGGUAUAUUGUAUGGUUAGGAGAGAGAUGAAAUGUGAUAACCCUAACUGGAUGAACAGAAGCGAAAGCUAUAUACUUAAAUGUAUUAUUAGAACAAGGACGUAAGCUAGAGGAUCGAAGAUGAUUAGAUACCAUUGUAGUUCUAGCAGUAAACUAUGUUAAAUCAUAGAUACAUUUUAAUAUGUAUUUAUGUAAAGAAAUUAAGAUUAUAUUGACUCUGGGGAUAGUAUGAUCGCAAGAUUGAAAAUUAAAGAAAUUGACGGAAGAAUACCACAAGGAGUGGAUUGUGCGGCUUAAU